UACAGAGGUCUCAAGCGUUGUUCGGAUUCAUUGGGCGUAAAGGGUGCGUAGGCGGCGCGGUAAGUCGGAUGUGAAAUCUCGGAGCUUAACUUCGAAACUGCAUUCGAUACUGCCGUGCUUGAGGACUGGAGAGGAGACUGGAAUUUACGGUGUAGCGGUGAAAUGCGUAGAUAUCGUAAGGAACACCAGUGGCGAAGGCGGCUCACUGGCCCGAUACUGACGCUGAGGUGCGAAAGCGUGGGGAGCAAACAGG
rnacentral:rRNA from 1 species